rnacentral:lncRNA from 1 species
AUGUUAUCUGGCUUGAUAUGCCAGUUUUUCUGAGAAAAUCACUCUGCCAGUGGUGAGAGAACGGAAGAGCUGAAAACAUCUUCUUUUUUCAAAGUCAUAUGUCACAAACCAAGGAGACUCCAAAAAAUAAAUUAUGGAAGAUUAUGACCACUGCUGCCAAGGAUACAGUGAAAUAGAUCCAUUAAAGAAUUGAGAUUGCAGGACACACUACCACCCAGAAAACUGGAGAGAGGAAAAUACAGAGAGGAAGCAGAUCAGCUUACCUGAAGCAGAGGCCGCUGGAAUCUGUGACAGGCUGCAUUUGUAACCAAGCCCUGGUCCUUUUCAUUGCAUCUUGCCAGAAUGAAGAAGAGCUGAUCUCUCCAGUUCCUGUUAUUCCCCUUACAUUGCCCA